ACUCUACUCCUCUCUCUUCCUUCCACUUCCUUCAGAGAGAUUAAUCUCCUCCUCUAUCCUUCUAACCUGCCUUGCUGGGGAGCUGGAGGCAAGAGGUUGCUCCAGAAGAGACCCUUCUCCAUAGAGCGUCAUUCCUGGGUCUGCCUGAGGAUCCUCGUUAGCCUGCAUGAUGAAAGACAUGACUUCUUGUUUUAUUUUCCCCAGCACUUGGAGAGAAAUCAGAGCAGCUCUCUGAAAUUGAGAAUGAAGCCCCCUCUUCCUGGAGCCUUGCAGACUGUUGGAAGGAACUGCUGUGGCUGUUUACCGAGUCCUGGGCCGUCCUUGUCCUUGCUCCAAGACCUUCUAACAGUGGAGGCCAGCUCUCCUCUUCUAGUGACAGCUCACUCGCUUUGGAAGAGGCCAGUCUUUAUGUCAUAUACACUGAGGAAGGUAAGGGAUAGUGCCCACGUGCCAAGAAACUGCAAGCUCUUGACAGCAGGCAUGGGAGUUAUCUUAGAAGAACAUGCCCUGGCCAGCGCCUGAAGCCUAGCCAUCCCGAUGGAUCACUCCUGAACGUUUGCCCCAUAGAAACGGCACGAUGAUGAAUGUUUGUUGUUUUAAGUUCAGUGUGAGGGUGAACUGUUGCCAAGCAGUAUAUAACCCUAUAGACAGGGUAAUUGAAGAGGCUCCCCCUUAACCUCGUGGGCAAAAGUCAUCUUGACUUACUUAUCACUUUGUGCAUUUCAAAGGAGAUAUGUGGGCCACUCAAGCCCUAUGAACAGAAUGGAGAACAUGCCAUUUCAGAAGCUAAUUGUCCCACAGCCCUGGCAGUGUGAGACCCUCCAGGACCAAAAUGAAUAGGACAGCUUUUAGUGUCUCUCUCACCAAGCAAGCAUUGUCCAUGUCCCUGUCUCAUAGGCAACUUCAACAGAAAGACCCUGGAAAUCGAUGCAAAAUAAAAGCGGGAGGGAAAAAGUCCCCAACUAUAAUUCUUCCUGAGGUGCUAUGCGACACUCCGCCGCGCGCAGCCUCCCCGCCUCUUCUGGUUCUCAUAACACACAGGAGUUUACGGCCUUGGAUCUGGCCCAAAAUUGUAGAUAGCCAUCAAUUUUGAGAACGUUCGUAUAUUCUGAACAGUGAAACUGUUCAUGGUGGUGGUGUUUAUGGCUGGGGUUUAAAUAGGAAGCUAAUAAAGAUAAAAAACUGUU
ensembl:lincRNA 2310005E17Rik RIKEN cDNA 2310005E17 gene